rnacentral:rRNA from 1 species
GAUGAACGCUGGCGGCGUGCCUAAUACAUGCAAGUCGAGCGAAUGGAUUAAGAGCUUGCUCUUAUGAAGUUAGCGGCGGACGGGUGAGUAACACGUGGGUAACCUGCACAUAAGACUGGGAUAACUCCGGGAAACCGGGGCUAAUACCGGAUAAUAUUUUGAACGGCAUGGUUCAAAAUGGAAAGGCGGCUUCGGCUGUCACUGAUUGAUAGACACGCGUCGCAUUAGCUAGUUGGUGAGGUAACGGCUCACCAAGGCAACGCUGCGGAGCCGACCUGGGAGGGUGAUCGGCCAGACUGGGACGGGGACACGGCCCAGACUCCUACGGGAGGCAGCAGUAGGGAAUCUUCCGCAAUGGACGAAAGUCUGACGGAGCAACGCCGCGUGAGUGAUGAAGGCUUUCGGGUCGUAAAACUCUGUUGUUAGGGAAGAACAAGUGCUAGUUGAAUAAGCUGGCACCUUGACGGUACCUAACCAGAAAGCCACGGCUAACUACGUGCCAGCCGCCGCGGUAA